GACGAACGCUGGCGGCGUGCUUAAUACAUGCCAGUCGAACGGAAAGGCCCUGCUUUUGUGGGGUGCUCGAGUGGCGAACGGGUGAGUAACACGUGAGUAACCUGCCCUUGACUUUGGGAUAACUUCAGGAAACUGGGGCUAAUACCGGAUAGGAGCUCCUGCUGCAUGGUGGGGGCUGGAAAGUUUCGGCGGUUGGGGAUGGACUGGCGGCUUAUCAGCUUGUUGGUGGGGUAGUGGCUUACCAAGGCUUUGACGGGUAGCCGGCCUGAGAGGGUGACCGGCCACAAUGGGACUGAGAUGCGGCCCAGACUCCUACGGGAGGCAGCAGUGGGGAAUAUUACACAAUGGGCGGAAGCCUGAUGCAGCAACGCCGCGUGCGGGAUGACGGCCUUCGGGUUGUAAACCGCUUUCGCCUGUGACGAAGCGUGAGUGACGGUAAUGGGUAAAGAAGCACCGGCUAACUACGUG
rnacentral:rRNA from 1 species